UGGCACUUGCCACCUCUGAAUAUAUUUAUGUGUAUCUUUUUUUUCUAUAUAUAUAUAUAGAGAAUAUAUAUAGAUACACAUAAAUAUAUUCAGAGGUGGCAAGUGCCA